rnacentral:rRNA from 1 species
CCCUUAGAUGUUCUGGGCCGCACGCGCGCUACACUGAUGCAGUCAACAAGCUUAUUUCCUGAGCUGAAAAGUUUGGGUAAUCUUUUGAAACUGCAUCGUGCUGGGGCUUGACGAUUGCAAUUAUUUGUCACAAACGAGGAAUUCCUAGUAAACGCAAGUCAUCAUCUUGCAUUGAUUACGUCCCUGCCCUUUGUACACACCGCCCGUCGCUCCUACCGAUUGAAUGUUCCGGUGAACACUUUGGAAUAGUUCUUAUGUGAGGGGAAACUCUUUGCUUGGAUACUGUGAAGUUGUGUAAACCUUAACAUUUAGAGGAAGGAGAAGUCGUAACA